AAAUUAGCAUCUGUACCCAUGGGGGGUGCUGCAUUUUUCUGGAAAAUGGUUCUCACGAUGUAGCAAAAACAUGCCCACACAUACGCACGUUUGUCGACCUAUACCCUAUGGGGACAUUACAUUGACUUCCAUCAAAUUUCUACAGCCUAACCCUGCCCACCUACCCUAAAGUUAACCUCACGAGGACCAACCGGACCCUAAACCCAACCUAAACUCAAUUCACACCUUGGUCCUAAACUGAAUCCCCAUCCCACCAAUGGAAUUUAAACAAAACAGGGACUCUGCUUAGGUCCCCAUAUGUACCAGUGGUUCAGGUGUUUUGUCUUAAAAUAGUUCUGUGUCACAAAACACACACACACACACACACACACACACACAGACACACACACACACACAGCUGAGUAGAAAAAGGUAUACCUGUUUUAGGAGCAGGAGGGUUGGGGCAGGAAGGAUGCAGUGAAAAUAUUGUUAUGCACAGAACACACACACACACACACACACACACACACACACACACACCAGCCGGAGUCAUGCCGAGCCUCUGAUGUGUGAAACAAGCAAAUAAAAACUCUCAACUCAAAACUUAACGUCUUUAGGUGCUUGAAUUCAAGCAAAAGAAUUCUUACUCAUGAAAGUAAAAGAUGAAACUUAGCCUUCUUUCUAAACCUGCUGGGAUAAAAAGGCCUUUAACAAAUGAACAGAAACACGGGAAGUGUUGGUCUCAAUAAAAUUUAUUUGAUAGUAGAAAUUUACCAUACAUUUGAGGUCAUCAAAUCUUACACUUUUGCUGCCCCCAAAGCAUGCAUAUCAUAAAUUCUCUGUACAAUAACUUUAUUUUAUUUUCCUCAUAAAACUCUUCACAGUCUGAGUGUGAUCUGCAGCCGGGGCAGUCGAACCUUGGACUGUUUUAGUGAAGAAAAACGAAACACUGGCAGCUCCCGGUCGUUUGCGCUCGACUUGUUUUUUUUUUUUUUUUUGUCUAAAUUCAUCAAAACAAAUAAAAGACAAAGUGGCUGGUUGACAAAGUUCAGGGGGAGAGAGGCUGGUUGGACAGAAAACACAGCUGACGUUUGGAACGAAGCCUCGGAUCUGCAAACAGGUUCAUCCUGAACCCGGCGUCAAACAAGUGGCUCUGUUAGUAAAAUAAUUCUUCUAAAUGUUUCAUUUCAAAAAUAAACAUUUUAGAGUUUAGGCAUCUUUGCAGAGCAGCUAACAAAACAAAA